rnacentral:rRNA from 1 species
GACGAACGCUGGCGGCGUGCUUAACACAUGCAAGUCGAACGGAAAGGCCCUGCUUUUGUGGGGUGCUCGAGUGGCGAACGGGUGAGUAACACGUGAGUAACCUGCCCUUGACUUUGGGAUAACUUCAGGAAACUGGGGCUAAUACCGGAUAGGAGCUCCUGCUGCAUGGUGGGGGUUGGAAAGUUUCGGCGGUUGGGGAUGGACUCGCGGCUUAUCAGCUUGUUGGUGGGGUAGUGGCUUACCAAGGCCUUGACGGGUAGCCGGCCUGAGAGGGUGACCGGCCACCUUGGGACUGAGAUACGGCCCAGACUCCUACGGGAGGCAGCAGUGGGGAAUAUUGCACAAUGGGCGGAAGCCUGAUGCAGCAACGCCGCGUGCGGGAUGACGGCCUUCGGGUUGUAAACCGCUUUCGCCUGUGACGAAGCGUGAGUGACGGUAAUGGGUAAAGAAGCACCGGCUAACUACGUG